CCGAAUUACAGUCGCUGCGGCA
rnacentral:siRNA from 1 species